rnacentral:rRNA from 1 species
UAGGGAAUAUUGGACAAUGGGCGCAAGCCUGAUCCAGCCAUGCCGCGUGAGUGAAGAAGGCCCUCGGGUUGUAAAGCUCUUUUGUCCGGAAAGAAAAGCAUCGGGCUAAUACCCUGGUGUUCUGACGGUACCGGAAGAAUAAGCACCGGCUAACUUCGUGCCAGCAGCCGCGGUAAUACGAAGGGUGCAAGCGUUACUCGGAAUUACUGGGCGUAAAGCGUGCGUAGGUGGUUUGUUAAGUCUGAUGUGAAAGCCCCUGGGCUCAAACCUGGGAAUGGCAUUGGGAAACUGGCGGACUCGAGUGCGGUAGAGGGGUGUGGAAUUCCCGGUGUAGCAGUGAAAUGCGUAGAGAUCGGGAGGAACACCAGUGGCGAAGGCGACACCCUGGACCAGCACUGACACUGAGGCACGAAAGCGUGGGGAGCAAACAGGAUUAGAUACCCUGGUAGUCCACGCCCUAAACGAUGCGAACUGGAUGUUGGGUGCAACUUGGCACUCAGUAUCGAAGCUAACGCGUUAAGUUCGCCGCCUGGGGAGUACGGUCGCAAGACUGAAACUUAAAUGAAUUGACGGGGUCAUAGCUGUUUCC